UGCGGUUUGGUGGGAUUAUGAUUAAAACAAAGCAAAACUGAACCAAAAGAAGAAAUAUAGGAUUUAAGAGUUAAUAGUAACAACAACAAAGUUAUAUUCUAGGACUUUUUUCUAUGAAUACAUUUUUAAAUGUAAACUAUUUUGAUAUGUUAUUGAUAAGUAUACAUUUAUUUAUUGAUCAGGAAACCAUUUCAGUAUUCACUGAGCUUUCUGACAGUAGGGACCUUUGAUUUUACAGAGGUCAGAGAUGCUGAAAGAGCAACUCCAGUAAAAGAGGAGCGUAAAGAAGCAGGUGUUGGUUCCCAUUUCAAAUCUUGAACCUAAAUAACAGGGGUUUGAAAAUGAUGCUACUCUUGUUCUUACUCUCCAAUUUAGAGGUGAUGAAAUCCCCCGGCCUGUGGAUUAUUUGACCAAGAUGCCACCUGACCUUACAUCCUCUGGCAGAUCCUGAUGGGAGUCGUUACAAAGAGGACAAUAUGGCUUUAUGGUGACUUUCACUGACAUGCAAGGUUUUCAGAGACGUUUUCAGCAAGCCCAAGUUCAGAGAAAAGGUCCCCUUUGUAUGUCCAAACAGUGUUGUGAACUGGAGUGCAUUUUCCAGACAAUAUGGGCAAGAGCUCCGGGUGCCCUACUCGUUGACUUUGAAAUAUACAAGGACUGCCCACCUGGAUAUGUAGGUGAUGGCAGAAGGGGAGUCCUGAAUGGGUUUUAUUCCGACAAGGAGGUUCAGGGCUAUUGCUCAUUUGAUUGUUUUUUCAAUGAUGGAGGGGAACUUCAGGCUGUGUAGAUUGUGUGUGUACGGUUAAUGUACGUGAUUAUCUGU